UACGGGGGGGCAAGCGUUGUUCGGAAUUACUGGGCGUAAAGGGCUCGUAGGCGGCCAACUAAGUCAUACGUGAAAUCCCUCGGCUUAACCGGGGAACUGCGUCUGAUACUGGAUGGCUUGAGUUCGGGAGAGGGAUGUGGAAUUCCAGGUGUAGCGGUGAAAUGCGUAGAUAUCUGGAGGAACACCGGUGGCGAAGGCGGCAUCCUGGACCAUGACUGACGCUGAGGAGCGAAAGCCAGGGAGCAAACGGG
rnacentral:rRNA from 1 species